GUCUUCGUGGUGUAAUGGACAGCACACUCGACGCGUAUUGGAGAGGUCCGUGGUUCGAAUCCCCGCGAGGACA
rnacentral:tRNA from 1 species